rnacentral:rRNA from 1 species
UACGGGGGGGGCAAGCGUUGUUCGGAAUUACUGGGCGUAAAGGGCUCGUAGGUGGCCAACUAAGUCAGACGUGAAAUCCCUCGGCUUAACCGGGGAACUGCGUCUGAUACUGGAUGGCUUGAGUUUGGGAGAGGGAUGCGGAAUUCCAGGUGUAGCGGUGAAAUGCGUAGAUAUCCGGAGGAACACCGGUGGCGAAGGCGGCUUCCUGGACCGACACUGACGCUGAGGCGCGAAAGCUAGGGGAGCAAACGGG